rnacentral:lncRNA from 1 species
GGUCGGCAGGGGGCGCCGUCUCCCCGUCAGCGCCUCCCUGGCUGCUGCAGCCCUCGCCCUGGGGGACCCUGGCGGAGCCGGCUCUUGUGUCUCGUGGUCAGGCAGGAGGCUAGCUCGACCCUGGCCCAGCCCUCACGUCCCCUGUCUGCAGUAGCCUUCCGGGGUGCUGGGACGCGGGGCCACCAGGACUCUUGUAGGAGGUCUUGUCCCUCGCCGGAGUCACUGCUUCGAGCCCUUGCAGGAAGACGCAGGGCCCUGUGGCUGACGGGCGAGCAGCCACAGCUGGAACAGAGGUCCAGCGCGCCAUCAUCAGCGCCCAUUCUUAACUACUUGUUCCCUCUGGCAAUCUUAGUGAUGCUGACCUGGCUCGCCCCUGCCCUGAACCUUCGAUGGCUCCUCAGUGCCCACAGGAUGAAGCUUCAGCCCAAAUCUAGCAUUCAGUACCCCCAUGGCAAUAAGGGUACCCACAGAAGCUGUUCCACAGGGCAGGAUGCUAUUCAGGCAAACACUGCCCCCACUCUUGCUCUGCAGACCAGGUCUUCCCGGCACAUCCACGGGGCCCUUCUGUGGUCCUGGCAGGUGAUGGCCGCAGGUAAGGCUGGGUCUGUGGCAUCUUCUACCAGCCCUGAGGGGGCAGCACCUGCAGGGCCAUCCUGGCUGGUUUCGGGUCUGCAGGGCCAGCUCCGGGACCUUAAAGUCAGGAUGGGGAAUGGCCAGAGUGCCCAGGAGGCUGGGAGGCCCGGGGAAGUGACUUGGAGGUGAGAGAACUUUAGGUGGCAUCUCCGCUUACAGUCCCUGUGCCAGCGGAGCCUUUGGUGCCCUGCUGUCCUGGCCUCCUGUGCAGAUACCACACCUCCUGGGAGCCUGGGAACACAGCCCUGCCUGCGGGGAGGGGUGGCAGCGGCCAGAGGGGCGGAGCCACUGCCAGUUGGCCAGGCUCCAUCCGGGUGCCAUCAUCCCC